GCAGCCCUGCGAUGCGCGAACGCUCAAGUUCCACUUGGGAUGGCCCGGUGAACCCGGCUAGCGCACGCGGGGCUGU
rnacentral:ncRNA from 1 species